rnacentral:rRNA from 1 species
AUACGAAAGGUGCAAGCGUUGUUCGGAUUUACUGGGCGUAAAGAGAGUGUAGGUGGUUUAUUAAGUCGGAUGUGAAAUCCCGGGGCUCAACCUCGGAACUGCAUUCGAUACUGGUAGACUAGAGUUCGAGAGGGGUAAGCGGAAUUCCGUGUGUAGCAGUGAAAUGCGUAGAUAUACGGAGGAACACCUGAGGCGAAGGCGGCUUACUGGACCGAUACUGACACUGAGACUCGAAAGCGUGAGUAGCAAACAGGAUUAGAAACCCCAGUAGUCC